rnacentral:rRNA from 1 species
UACAGAGGUCCCAAGCGUUGUCCGGAAUUAUUGGGCGUAAAGAGCCCGUAGGCGGUUUGUUGCGUCGGCUGUGAAAUCCCGAGGCUCAACCUCGGGUCUGCAGUCGAUACGAGCAAACUAGAGUGUUGCAGGGGAGACUGGAAUUCCUGGUGUAGCGGUGAAAUGCGCAGAUAUCAGGAGGAACACCGGUGGCGAAGGCGGGUCUCUGGGCAACAACUGACGCUGAGGAGCGAAAGCGUGGGGAGCGAACAGG